rnacentral:rRNA from 1 species
AAUGAACGCUGGCGGCAUGCCUAACACAUGCAAGUCGAACGAAGGCUUCGGCCUUAGUGGCGCACGGGUGCGUAACGCGUGGGAAUCUGCCCUUGGGUUCGGAAUAACAGUUAGAAAUGACUGCUAAUACCGGAUGAUGUCGUAAGACCAAAGAUUUAUCGCCCAAGGAUGAGCCCGCGUAGGAUUAGCUAGUUGGUGGGGUAAAGGCCUACCAAGGCGACGAUCCUUAGCUGGUCUGAGAGGAUGAUCAGCCACACUGGGACUGAGACACGGCCCAGACUCCUACGGGAGGCAGCAGUGGGGAAUAUUGGACAAUGGGCGAAAGCCUGAUCCAGCAAUGCCGCGUGAGUGAUGAAGGCCUUAGGGUUAUAAAGCUCUUUUACCCGGGAUGAUAAUGACAGUACCGGGAGAAUAAGCUCCGGCUAACUUCGUG